GGUUCUUCAGCAGAGAGAUCCUGUCCGUGUCUGUGAUCAGGGUUUCCUAAACUCACCCAGAGAUGUCCUACCAGCAAAACCAACAGCAGUACCAGCCCCCUCCCAAAUGCCAGACCCCCAAGUACCCUCCCCAGGCUCCAUGCUCUGCUCCUGUCUCUUCAGGCUGUGGGGCCAGCUCUGGAGGAUGUGGUAGCUCUGGAGGAUGCAGUACCUUUGGCUCUGGGGGUGGCUGCUCUCUCUUUUCUCAUAAUAGGAGAACCCCCAGAUGCAGGGGCCAGAGCCCUGGCCACUGUGACAGUGGCUGUGGCCGCAGACAGCAGUCUGGGGGCUGCGGUGGUGGCUCUGGGGGCUGUUAGUGACCUGCUGCCCUUGGCUGAGGAGCAGAAUUUCAGGAAUCAAGAGACGCCACUGACCAGCCUCCUCCAUUCCCAUCCCUCCUCCUAAGCUGCUGAGAUGUCCUUUGGGAAAUGGGAGACUCCAGGACUAACCCUUCAUCUCCUCUCAAAUUCCCCAAAUUUCAGUGUUGAAUCCAACCUUCUCUGCCUCAGUUAUCUAAUGCAACAGUAAAACUCUAUCUGGUCAAAGA